AGCUCGCUUAGCCAGGAACAGCUGCCAUGCAGUGUUACUGCCAUCACAGGCCCCACCAGUGGUGUCUCCUGGGCUGGUUGAACCUCAAAAACUGUGAGCUAAAUAAAUAUUUUUUUCUUUAAAAAAAAAAGCUACAUUGGUAUCAACCCAGAUAAAGAUGGCGUGGAUUCUAUCUGCAAGAUGUUUGUAAGUUAAAAUAUAUGGCACCAUGAGACUUCUGGUUCUUCCCCAAAGUCAAAAUGGCCCUGAAAGUUAAUACCACACCGAGGUAUAUUUGAAAGCUGAAUGGAAGAAGAGAAAGAAAUCACUGCCUCUGCUAUUUCAGAUUACAAAAUUAAGCCUGCCAGCUAUCAAGUUUUAAGGAGAGCUCCUGUCAUGUAAGCUUUAUUCAGGCCACCAAGCCUAGUUAAGAAAAUUUGUUAAUUGACUUGGUUGACAGCCUAAGUCAUGUCUUCAGUUUCCGCUUUUAAUUUUGACUUAUCCACCCAUAAGAAUGCCAAAAGCUGUUAUUUCUGCAAGUGCCACAGUGGCACUAACCAGCAGACGGUGUCCAACUGAGCAGACAGACAAGGUGCUAAUUCUUCUUCAUUCAACUCCUGAUGGCUGGACAGCGUGUGUUAAAGAUCUCGCACAAACAGUUGAGGUGUGCAUAGAAACUGCGAACAACUGCAGAUUCCUGGAGAACUGUUAAAGUCAAAAAAGCAAAGCAAGAAAUCAACUCAUGUGAUUCUAAAUUGAGUAGAAGAUUGCUUCUUCUCGCACCCCCUCCUGCCACACACAGAAGUAUGGAUACAAAAAGGAGAGAAGUAGAAAAUAGAAGAUAAAACUUUGGAUUGUCCGAAAGUAGAUCCUCGUACCUGGUGAUUCUCAGAGGUGAAAACAUGUUCCCACAGAGAUAAAUACAAUUCCGCUGAAGAUCUUUUGGAUUACAAGCUGUCUGCAGCAGGCUCCCAGCUUCUCUGCCCAAGAUUUUCACUUAUCCUCCUGGUAUGUGAGUUGAUGAACUUGAUCUCCAGCUGAAGAUGUGAAAUACAAGGGGAAGCAGCUCACUUCCGGUGACAGGGCUGGCCUCGCCUCAUCACUCUGCCCCAGGACUAGGAGUUGAAUGGGACAGCACUGCAUUGCAGGACGGAUAGAGGUGUUGCUGUUGCCCUGGAGACAGCCCAAGGCUGCUUGGUCUCCCUUCAAUUUCCUCUCCUGCAGAGUUUCCCUAUGCAGUUCAGACUGGCCUGGAACUCACAAAGCUCCUCCUGCCAUAGCCUCCUGAGUGGGGGGAUUAUGGGUCAUUUGGUCGUCCUCAUGGAAAAAAUGAAGUAUGCUCUGCUGAAGACACAGUCCACAGAGAUGCGCCAGUCUGAAGACUAUUCUUUUCAUCUGUCUGAAGUGUUAAGACACCAAAACAAAGCAGUGUGUUCCGUGCGACUCCUGCUUUGCCCACCCGUCUGCGGAAGCUCAGACGUGGGGCGGAAUGCAGGAAGAGGAGAGCCAGUCUAAUAAAAAUCGAAUGCAGCAUACCAACCCAUCAGCAUCCUUCACUGAAAGAUGGAAGACGUAGUUCUGGCCUGCUUCCUUGCAUAUUUUUGAAGCACAUAUUGACAGCCCAGGCUCAGAAGCAGAGCCGCUGUAUUUAAGACAGGGAGCUACAUAGUCCUGGGUCACUGGAGAGGGAGAAUCCCCAUAGGGACCAAAGGUCUCUAAGACAGUAUGAUGCCGAGGGUGUGCGUGUAAAGAAGAAUAUAAAUUCUUCCAACGGGUUCAAGUACCAGUUAAUAGUUUUGUUUAGUUUAAUAAGUAAUUAUUGUUGGGUGAAGUUCUACUAACUUUAGUGAAAGUAUCAGUCACAGUCAUGUUUGUUAUACCUUAAGCAUUGAGCUCAGUACUUUCCAGGGAUAAUUAGAUUAAAAUUUCAAACUAACUCUAUGGUGUAGGAAUGGAAAGAGAGGUCAGUGAACGUCAUGUGACUUGUGCUGCGAUUUGAACCCAGGUGGUAUAUAACUCACGGGCCACCCUGUAAUCAUCAUAUCUAACCCCUGGACUAUCUCCUGGCGGCCUGAAGCAACCACCUCCAAACUUUUGUGAUAUUGUGGUGAUGGAUUUCUUUUCUUUUAACCCACCCUGACUUCCCCUAAAGGGCUCUGUAUGGUAUAAAGAAAUUAAAGGAAAAACUUGAACCAAUUAAAUGUGUUUUUUCCCAUUUAUUUUUAGCAUUUUGCAACGCCCCUGGAGAUAUUUGGAGACACCCAGCUGAGUUCUGAAGCAGAUAGGAGUGCACUGGCCCGUGACCUUCACUGAAUGAAUUUCCUGAGCACUUAUGAUGGCUAGGUUUUCCACUUUAAAUAUUUUGAAAGAUCUCGAGGCCCCAAAACAGAAAGAGAGAAGGGGAGCGAGCCAGCUAGCGAGCUGG